GGUGUUGCGCCGAAGAUGUCCGGGGCUAAAAUCUAUUACCGAAGUUGUGGGAUGUACGAAAGUACAUCGGUAGAGGAGCAUUCUGUGCAGGAAGAAGUUCCAUCGAAAGAGGAUAUGGACAGUACAGAAGAGAGAAUGUUGGCAUGAGUAGCGAAAGGUGAGUGAGAAUCUCACCCAUCGAAAGCCUAAGGAUUCCUGAGGAAGGCUCGUCCACUCAGGGUAAGUCGGGACCUAAGCCGAGGCGUAUUGCGUAGGCGAUGGACAACUGGUUGAAAUUCCAGUACCACCUUUAAGCGUUUGAGAAAUGGGGUAACACAGAAGGGUAGGCUAGCGCACUGAUGGAAUAGUGCGUCUAAGUAAGUAGGGAGACACCGGAGGCAAAUCCCCGGAGUCAAUCCUGAGAUACGAAUGGGAGCGAAAAGAAGUAGUGAAGUAGUUGAGCCCACGCUGUCAAGAAAAGCCUCUAUCGAGCAAGAAGGUGCCCGUACCGCAAACCGACACAGGUAGGCAAGGAGAGAAUCCAAAGAUGAGCGGAAGAACUAUUGUUAAGGAACUAGGCAAAAUGACCCCGUAACUUCGGGAGAAGGGGUGCCCAUUGGAGUGAAGUCUGAACAGAUGGAGCUUCGAAGGGUCACAGAAAACAGGCCCAAGCGACUGUUUACCAAAAACACAGGUCUCUGCUAAAUCGAAAGAUGAAGUAUAGGGGCUGACACCUGCCCGGUGCUGGAAGGUUAAGGGGAGAAGUCAUCGAAAGAGAAGCUUUGAACUUAAGCCCCAGUAAACGGCGGCCGUAACUAUAACGGUCCUAAGGUAGCGAAAUUCCUUGUCGGGUAAGUUCCGACCCGCACGAAAGGUGUAACGAUUUGGGCACUGUCUCAACAAUAGAUCCGGUGAAAUUGUAGUACUCGUGAAGAUGCGAGUUACCCGCGGCAGGACGGAAAGACCCCAUGGAGCUUUACUGCAGGCUGACAUUGGAAUUCGGUAGCAAUUGUACAGGAUAGGUGGGAGACAAAGAAGCAUGCACGCCAGUGUGUGUGGAGUCGACGUUGGGAUACCACUCUAUUGUUACUGAAUUUCUAACAUGAUACCGUAAUCCGGUAUAUGGACACUGUCAGUUGGGCAGUUUGACUGGGGCGGUCGCCUCCGAAAGAGUAACGGAGGCGCUCAAAGGUUCCCUCAGCACGGUCGGAAAUCGUGCGAAGAGUGUAAAGGCAGAAGGGAGCUUGACUGAGAGAGAGACAUCUCGAUCAGGAACGAAAGUUGGACUUAGUGAUCCGGUGGCACCGAGUGGAAAGGCCAUCGCUUAACGGAUAAAAGCUACCCUGGGGAUAACAGGCUUAUCUCCCCCAAGAGUCCACAUCGACGGGGAGGUUUGGCACCUCGAUGUCGGCUCGUCUCAUCCUGGGGCUGAAGUAGGUCCCAAGGGUUGGGCUGUUCGCCCAUUAAAGAGGCACGCGAGCUGGGUUCAGAACGUCGUGAGACAGUUCGGUCCCUAUCCGCCGUGGGCGUAGGAAAUUUGAAGGGAGCUGUUCCUAGUACGAGAGGACCGGAAUGGACAGACCGCUGGUGUAUCAGUUGUUCCGCCAGGAGCAUGGCUGAGUAGCUAAGUCUGGAAAAGAUAAGCGCUGAAGGCAUCUAAGCGCGAAACAGACCUUAAGAUAAUAUUUCCCAUCACGCAAGUGAGUAAGACCCCUGAAAGGCUAUCAGGUAGAUAGGUUACAUGUGUAAGUGCAGUAAUGCAUUAAGCUGAGUAAUACUAAUAGGUCGAGGUCUUGACC
rnacentral:rRNA from 1 species